rnacentral:rRNA from 1 species
UACAGAGGUCCCAAGCGUUGUUCGGAUUCACUGGGCGUAAAGGGUGCGUAGGUGGCCGGGUAAGUCUAAUGUGAAAUCUCCGAGCCUAACUCGGAAACUGCAUCGGAUACUAUUCGGCUAGAGGACUGGAGGGGAGACUGGAAUACGUGAUGUAGCAGUGAAAUGCGUAGAUAUCAAGUGGAACACCAGUGGCGAAGGCGAGUCUCAGGACAUUAACUGACGCUGAGGCACGAAAGCUAGGGGAGCAAACAGG